GAGAAAUGUGUGACACUCACAGACGUCAACAUAAUCCAGAGAAAGCCAUAGGGCUUUGUAUCUGAAGCUAAUACAUUUUUAUGUUGUGCUGUUAAUGAGUCACUGAGAACAAAAGAAGCACUGUACUGUCAAUUGGUCACUAUCCUCUCCUCUCAUUUACAUAUGACCAUUGUCAGUCAGCAGCCUCACCCACCUCAUUAGACAAACACAGUUCAGUGACACGUUAAUGUGUCAGAGACGUGUCAUUGGUUCAACGACCGCAGCCCAGGCUUUAUCUCUGAGGAUUUCUGAUAUACUGCACCAGCUCUGGAGGGAGAGGAAAGAGAGAGGGAUAUAGCGAGGACGAGUGAAAAAGAGAGGGAAAUAGAGUCACAGGGACAGAGAAAGAAAAAAAGAGACCAGGUGUGGUUAACGGUAAUAGCUACAACCAUCUGAGCGUGUGUAGAGGGGGGUUCAACAGAAGGGCGAGGAGGGAGGAGAUGUGAAGUACUAUGGCUAGAGGUAAGAGUAGCCAUUACCCACUCUCUGGAUUCCAGCUGGAACAUCGACACAGACACGGCUUUGUCAGGACUCUCCCUCUCAAAGUGGAUCACCCAGGCCGCCGUGUAAGGCCUGAGCCGUCGAGCGGCAUUACGUAACAGCCACUCUUUCAGAAAAGAGAAAGAGAGAGAAAAAAAGCCUUUGGGCGUUGUCUGGUCUCCUGAAACCUGCCUGGAAACAGGGCUCACUAUCUCAGCCUGAGCAGUGAGUACCAAUGCCCACUCCACCUACCCUCCUCAACCCCACACUCCCUGUCUGCUACUGCUGUGCCCUUUAGUGCAGUCAGCAUGGCAUUGGAACACACAGCCUUACAUAUGUCCUCCUGACUGUCCCAAAAUCACCAUAUUUAGAGGGUACAUUGAUUGUGGUGAGCUGUGAUUACACAGGCAUGGUUUUAUCCAUGUACUCCCUCCUCCUUUGUCCUCAACAAUGCCUCUAAAAAAUAGGUAUGUCAAACUUUGCACCAAGCUCGAGAGAAAUUCCUAAAACCAGUAUAAUUUUAUUGCAGUUUCAUCACUCACAUUUGCAUGCACAACGUCCCUCGAAAGAUCUGUGGUAUUGCUCUGCUUGUCGGUACUGGAACUAAUUCCCCAACACAAUUAGUGAGUUUUUCUCCUUUUUUUCUCUACCA
rnacentral:lncRNA from 13 species